rnacentral:rRNA from 1 species
AAAGGAAUUGACGGGGGCCCGCACAAGCGGUGGAGCAUGUGGUUUAAUUCGAUGCAACGCGAAGAACCUUACCAGGGCUUGACAUCUACCUGACAGUAUAUGGAAACCUAUACUUUCUUUCGGGACAGGUAGACAGGUGGUGCAUGGUUGUCGUCAGCUCGUGUCGUGAGAUGUUGGGUUAAGUCCCGCAACGAGCGCAACCCCUGUUCUUAGUUGCCAGCAUCUAAGGUGGGCACUCUAAGGAGACUGCCGCAGACAAUGCGGAGGAAGGUGGGGACGACGUCAAAUCAUCAUGCCCCUUAUGUUCUGGGCUACACACGUGCUACAAUGGCCUGUACAACGGGUAGCGAGUUUGUGAGAAUUAGCCAAUCCCUUAAAACAGGUCCCAGUUCGGAUUGUAGGCUGCAAUUCGCCUACAUGAAGUCGGAAUCGCUAGUAAUCGCGGAUCAGCAUGUCGCGGUGAAUACGUUCCCGGGCCUUGUACACACCGCCCGU